CCUACGGGAGGCUGCAGUGGGGAAUAUUGCACAAUGGGGGAAACCCUGAUGCAGCGACGCCGCGUGAGUGAAGAAGUAUUUCGGUACGUAAAGCUCUAUCAGCAGGGAAGAAAAAGACGGUACCUGACCAAGAAGCCCCGGCUAACUACGUGCCAGCAGCCGCGGUAAUGCGUAGGGUGCAAGCGUUAUCCGGAUUUACUGGGUGUAAAGGGGGCGGAGACGGCAGCGCAAGUCUGGAGUGAAAUCCCAUGGCUUAACCACGGAACUGCUUUGGAAACUGGGCAGCUGGAGUGCAGGAGAGGUAAGCGGAAUUCCUAGUGUAGCGGUGAAAUGCGUAGAUAUUAGGAGGAACACCAGUGGCGAAGGCGGCUUACUGGACUGUAACUGACGUUGAGGCUCGAAAGCGUGGGGAGCAAACAGGAUUAGAUACCCGGGUAGUC
rnacentral:rRNA from 1 species